rnacentral:rRNA from 1 species
AAUCGGAUUGUAAACUGUAGAAGUGUUUUCCAGACACGCCUGGUAAAAAAGUCCUUUGGAACAGGGCAUCAUAGAGGGUGAGAAUCCCGUCAUUGGCCAGAGCUGUUGUCUUUUGUGAUACAUUUUCAAAGAGUCAGGUUGUUUGGGAAUGCAGCCUAAAUUGGGUGGUAAAUCUCACCUAAAGCUAAAUAUUUGCGAGAGACCGAUAGCGAACAAGUACCGUGAGGGAAAGAUGAAAAGAACUUUGAAAAGAGAGUUAAACAGUAUGUGAAAUUGUUAAAAGGGAACCGUUUGGAGCCAGACUGGCUUAAUCGUAAUCAAUCUAGGCUUUGGCCUGGAUGCACUUGCGGUUUAUGCCGGCCAACGACAGUUUUGUUUGGGAGAAAAAAUUACAUUGAAUGUGGCCCCUCGGGGUGUUAUAGCUUUGUAAAAAAUAUCCUGGACUGGACUGAGGAACGCAGUGAAUGCCUUUAGGCAAGAUUGCUGGGUGCUUUCGCUAAUACAUGCUAGAAUUUCUGCUUCGGGUGGUGCUAGUGUUUAAAGGAGGAACU